UACUACCGAACCUACGGCAUCAGUAAUGAUGGGUAGGGGAGCUUCCCAUACGGGUUGAAGCAUGACCGUAAGGACAUGUGGACAGUAUGGGAGGGAGAAUGUUGGCAUGAGUAGCGAGAUGUGGGUGGGAAUCCCACAGGCCGUAAACCCAAGGUUUCCAGGGGAAGGUUCGUCCACCCUGGGUUAGUCGGGACCUAAGCUGAGGCCGAAAGGCGUAGGUGAUGGACAACAGGUUGAUAUUCCUGUACUACCGAUAACCGUUUGAGAGAAGGGAUGACACAGUAGGAUAAGCUAAGCACACUGUUGGUUAUGUGUGCCCAAGCAUUGAGGCAGUCAAAGUAGGCAAAUCCGCUUUGAUAAUGCUGGGAUGUGAUGGGGAGCGAAAUUUAGUAGCGAAGUAGCUGAUUUCACACUGUCAAGAAAAGUCUCUAUCGAGGUUAAAGGUACCCGUACCGCAAACCGACACAGGUGGGUGAGGAGAGUAUCCUAAGGCCAGCGAGAGAACUGUUGUUAAGGAACUCGGCAAAAUGACCCCGUAACUUAGGGAUAAGGGGUGCCACCAUCAGGUGGCCGCAGAGAAUAGGCCCAAGCGACUGUUUACCAAAAACAUAGGUUUCUGCUAAGUCGCAAGACGAUGUAUAGGAGCUGACGCCUGCCCGGUGCUGGAAGGUUAAGGGGAUCUGUUAGAG
rnacentral:rRNA from 1 species